CGCCUUAUACUCCUACGGGAGGCAGCAGUGGGGAAUAUUGGACAAUGGGCGAAAGCCUGAUCCAGCCAUGCCGCGUGUGUGAAGAAGGUCUUCGGAUUGUAAAGCACUUUAAGUUGGGAGGAAGGGCCAUUACCUAAUACGUGAUGGUUUUGACGUUACCGACAGAAUAAGCACCGGCUAACUCUGUGCCGGCAGCCGCGGUAAUACAGAGGGUGCAAGCGUUAAUCGGAAUUACUGGGCGUAAAGCGCGCGUAGGUGGUUUGUUAAGUUGGAUGUGAAAUCCCCGGGCUCAACCUGGGAACUGCAUUCAAAACUGACUGACUAGAGUAUGGUAGAGGGUGGUGGAAUUUCCUGUGUAGCGGUGAAAUGCGUAGAUAUAGGAAGGAACACCAGUGGCGAAGGCGACCACCUGGACUGAUACUGACACUGAGGUGCGAAAGCGUGGGGAGCAAACAGGAUUAGAUACCCUUGUAGUCCACGUACCA
rnacentral:rRNA from 1 species